AGAGUUUGAUCAUGGCUCAGAACGAACGCUGGCGGCAUGCCUAACACAUGCAAGUCGAACGAACUCUUCGGAGUUAGUGGCGCACGGGUGCGUAACGCGUGGGAAUCUGCCCUUGGGUACGGAAUAACUCAGAGAAAUUUGUGCUAAUACCGUAUAAUGACUUCGGUCCAAAGAUUUAUCGCCCAAGGAUGAGCCCGCGUAAGAUUAGCUAGUUGGUGUGGUAAAAGCGCACCAAGGCGACGAUCCUUAGCUGGUCUGAGAGGAUGAUCAGCCACACUGGGACUGAGACACGGCCCAGACUCCUACGGGAGGCAGCAGUGGGGAAUAUUGGACAAUGGGCGAAAGCCUGAUCCAGCAAUGCCGCGUGAGUGAUGAAGGCCUUAGGGUUGUAAAGCUCUUUUACCCGGGAUGAUAAUGACAGUACCGGGAGAAUAAGCUCCGGCUAACUCCGUGCCAGCAGCCGCGGUAAUACGGAGGGAGCUAGCGUUGUUCGGAAUUACUGGGCGUAAAGCGUACGUAGGCGGCUUUGUAAGUAAGAGGUGAAAGCCUGGAGCUCAACUCCAGAACUGCCUUUUAGACUGCAUCGCUUGAAUCCUGGAGAGGUGAGUAGAAUUCCGAGUGUAGAGGUGAAAUUCGUAGAUAUUCGGAAGAACACCAGUGGCGAAGGCGGCUCACUGGACAGGUAUUGACGCUGAGGUACGAAAGCGUGGGGAGCAAACAGGAUUAGAUACCCCGGUAGUCC
rnacentral:rRNA from 1 species